rnacentral:rRNA from 1 species
GUAGGUGGCAAGCGUUGUCCGGAAUUAUUGGGCGUAAAGCGCGCGCAGGCGGUUCUUUAAGUCUGAUGUGAAAGCCCACGGCUCAACCGUGGAGGGUCAUUGGAAACUGGAGAACUUGAGUACAGAAGAGGAAAGCGGAAUUCCACGUGUAGCGGUGAAAUGCGUAGAGAUGUGGAGGAACACCAGUGGCUAAGGCGGCUUUCUGGUCUGUAACUGACGCUGAGGCGCGAAAGCGUGGGGAGCAAACAGGGAUUAGAUACCCUGGUAGUCCACGCCGUAAACGAUGAGUGCUAAGUGUUAGGGGGGUUUCCGCCCCCCUUAGUGCUGCAGCUAACGCAUUAAGCACUCCGCCUGGGGAGUACGGCCGCAAGGCUG